CCUACGGGCGGCAGCAGUGGGGGAUAUUGCACAAUGGGGGAAACCCUGAUGCAGCGACGCCGCGUGUGGGAAGACGGUCCUCUGGAUUGUAAACCACUGUCCCCAGGGACGAAGCUGACGGUACCUGGGGAGGAAGCCCCGGCUAACUACGUGCCAGCAGCCGCGGUAAUACGUAGGGAGCGAGCGUUGUCGGGAAUUACUGGGUGUAAAGGGAGCGUAGGCGGGGAUGCAAGUUGGGGGUCAAAACUACCGGCUCAACUGGGAGUCGCACUCAAAACUGGAGCUCUUGAGUGAAGUAGAGGCAGGCGGAAUUCCUAGUGUAGCGGUGAAAUGCGUAGAUAUUAGGAGGAACACCAGUGGCGAAGGCGGCCUGCUGGGCUUUUACUGACGCUGAGGCUCGAAAGUGUGGGGAGCAAACAGGAUUAGAUACCCGGGUAGUC
rnacentral:rRNA from 1 species